GUCGUCGUGCCCGAGUGGUUAAGGCGACAGACUUGAAAUCUGUUGGGCUCUGCCCGCACAGGUUCGAAUCCUGUCGGCGACG
rfam:Ciona savignyi cont_40548, whole genome shotgun sequence.